rnacentral:rRNA from 1 species
CGGGUGAGUAACACGUGGUUAACCUGCCGAGAUGUGGGGGAUACCCCGGGGAAACCCGGGCUAAUACCGCAUGAUGUCUUCCGGGCGUCGGCCUGGAAGAGCAAAGCCGGGGACCGUAAGGCCUGGCGCAUUUCGAGGGGACCGCGGCCGAUUAGCUAGUUGGCGGGGUAAUGGCCCACCAAGGCAACGACGGGUAGCUGGUCUGAGAGGAUGAUCAGCCACACUGGAACUGAGACACGGUCCAG